CCCCGUACACAAAAAUGCACAUGCUGUGAGCUCGAUGAGUAGGGCGGGACACGUGGUAUCCUGUCUGAAUAUGGGGGGACCAUCCUCCAAGGCUAAAUACUCCUGACUGACCGAUAGUGAACCAGUACCGUGAGGGAAAGGCGAAAAGAACCCCGGCGAGGGGAGUGAAAAAGAACCUGAAACCGUGUACGUACAAGCAGUGGGAGCACGCUUAGGCGUGUGACUGCGUACCUUUUGUAUAAUGGGUCAGCGACUUAUAUUCUGUAGCAAGGUUAACCGAAUAGGGGAGCCGAAGGGAAACCGAGUCUUAACUGGGCGUUAAGUUGCAGGGUAUAGACCCGAAACCCGGUGAUCUAGCCAUGGGCAGGUUGAAGGUUGGGUAACACUAACUGGAGGACCGAACCGACUAAUGUUGAAAAAUUAGCGGAUGACUUGUGGCUGGGGGUGAAAGGCCAAUCAAACCGGGAGAUAGCUGGUUCUCCCCGAAAGCUAUUUAGGUAGCGCCUCGUGAAUUCAUCUCCGGGGGUAGAGCACUGUUUCGGCAAGGGGGUCAUCCCGACUUACCAACCCGAUGCAAACUGCGAAUACCGGAGAAUGUUAUCACGGGAGACACACGGCGGGUGCUAACGUCCGUCGUGAAGAGGGAAACAACCCAGACCGCCAGCUAAGGUCCCAAAGUCAUGGUUAAGUGGGAAACGAUGUGGGAAGGCCCAGACAGCCAGGAUGUUGGCUUAGAAGCAGCCAUCAUUUAAAGAAAGCGUAAUAGCUCACUGGUCGAGUCGGCCUGCGCGGAAGAUGUAACGGGGCUAAACCAUGCACCGAAGCUGCGGCAGCGACGCUUAUGCGUUGUUGGGUAGGGGAGCGUUCUGUAAGCCUGUGAAGGUGUACUGUGAGGUAUGCUGGAGGUAUCAGAAGUGCGAAUGCUGACAUAAGUAACGAUAAAGCGGGUGAAAAGCCCGCUCGCCGGAAGACCAAGGGUUCCUGUCCAACGUUAAUCGGGGCAGGGUGAGUCGACCCCUAAGGCGAGGCCGAAAGGCGUAGUCGAUGGGAAACAGGUUAAUAUUCCUGUACUUGGUGUUACUGCGAAGGGGGGACGGAGAAGGCUAUGUUGGCCGGGCGACGGUUGUCCCGGUUUAAGCGUGUAGGCUGGUUUUCCAGGCAAAUCCGGAAAAUCAAGGCUGAGGCGUGAUGACGAGGCACUACGGUGCUGAAGCAACAAAUGCCCUGCUUCCAGGAAAAGCCUCUAAGCAUCAGGUAACAUCAAAUCGUACCCCAAACCGACACAGGUGGUCAGGUAGAGAAUACCAAGGCGCUUGAGAGAACUCGGGUGAAGGAACUAGGCAAAAUGGUGCCGUAACUUCGGGAGAAGG
rnacentral:rRNA from 1 species